rnacentral:rRNA from 1 species
UACGGGGGGGGGCAAGCGUUGUUCGGAAUUACUGGGCGUAAAGGGCGCGUAGGCGGCCUUCUAAGUCGGACGUGAAAUCCCUCGGCUUAACCGAGGAACUGCGUCCGAUACUGAAAGGCUUGAAUCCGGGAGAGGGAUGUGGAAUUCCAGGUGUAGCGGUGAAAUGCGUAGAUAUCUGGAGGAACACCGGUGGCGAAGGCGGCAUCCUGGACCGGCAUUGACGCUGAGGCGGCGAAAAGCUAGGGGAGCAAACGGG